UCAAGCCUACGGGGCGCAGCAGUGGGGAAUAUUGCACAAUGGGGGAAACCCUGAUGCAGCGACGCCGCGUGAGUGAUGAAGUAUUUCGGUAUGUAAAGCUCUAUCAGCAGGGAAGAUAAUGACGGUACCUGACUAAGAAGCUCCGGCUAAAUACGUGCCAUCAGCCGCGGUAAUACGUAUGGAGCAAGCGUUAUCCGGAUUUACUGGGUGUAAAGGGAGCGCAGACGGCAGGGCAUGUCUGAUGUGAACGUCCGGGGCUCAACCCCGGGACUGCAUUGGAAACUGUCCGGCUAGAGUGCAGGGGG
rnacentral:rRNA from 1 species